rnacentral:rRNA from 1 species
GACGAACGCUGGCGGCGGGCUCAACACAUGCGAGUCGAACGGAAAGGCCCUGCAUUUGGGGGGUGCUCGAGGGGCGAACGGGUGAGGAACACGUGAGUAACCUGCCCUGGACUGUGGGAUAACGUCAGGAAACUGGGGCUACUACCGGAUAGGCACUCCUGCUGCAUGGUGGGGGUCGGAAAGUUUCGGCGGUUGGGGAUGGACUCGCGGCUUAUCAGCUUGUUGGUGGGGUAGAAGCUUACCAAGGCUUUGACGGGCAGCCGGCCUGAGUGGGUGCCCGGCCACAUUGGGCCUAGACUACCGCCCAGACUCCUACGGGCUGUAGCGGUGGGGAUUAUUGUGUAAUGGGCGGAAGCAUGGUGCAGUAACGCCCCCUGCGCGAUGACGGCCUUCGGGUUGUAAGCAGCUUUCGCCCGUGACGAAGCGUCAGUGCCGUUAAUGGCUAACGAAGCACCGGCUAACUACGUG